UACGUAGGUCCCGAGCGUUGUCCGGAUUUAUUGGGCGUAAAGCGAGCGCAGGUGGUUUAUUAAGUCUGGUGUAAAAGGCAGUGGCUCAACCAUUGUAUGCAUUGGAAACUGGUAGACUUGAGUGCAGGAGAGGAGAGUGGAAUUCCAUGUAUAGUGGUGAAAUGCGUAGAUAUAUGGAGGAACACCGGUGGCGAAAGCGGCUCUCUGGCCUGUAACUGACACUGAGGCUCGAAAGCGUGGGGAGCAAACAGG
rnacentral:rRNA from 1 species